rnacentral:snRNA from 1 species
GUGCUUGCUUCGGUAGCUCAUAUAAUAAAAAAUUGGACUGAUACAGAGAAGAUUAGCAUGGCCCUUGCGCAAGGAUGACAUGCAAAUUCGUGAAAUGUUCCAUAUUAAU